UGGGGAAUAUUGCACAAUGGGCGAAAGCCUGAUGCAGCAACGCCGCGUGAGUGAUGAAGGUCUUCGGAUUGUAAAGCUCUGUCUUUUGGGACGAUAAUGACGGUACCAAAGGAGGAAGCCACGGCUAACUACGUGCCAGCAGCCGCGGUAAUACGUAGGUGGCGAGCGUUGUCCGGAUUUACUGGGCGUAAAGGGUGCGUAGGCGGAUGUUUAAGUGAGAUGCGAAAUACCCGGGCUUAACUUGGGUGCUGCAUUUCAAACUGGAUAUCUAGAGUGCAGGAGAGGAGAAUGGAAUUCCUAGUGUAGCGGUGA
rnacentral:rRNA from 1 species